CCGCCCCACGUCCCUCCUCCGCAUCCGCGCGGGGGAGCGGACGGUCCGGUGCUGAAUGGGCGCGAGCGCGGCGCCGGGGACGGGCGGGGGAGCGGGGCCCGGGACUGGCGGCCGGCCGGCGCCCCCUCCCUAGCAUGCGGGCGAAAGCGGCGGGCGGCGCAGAGCGGCGUCCCCUGCAGCUGCGAACCGAGGCGGUGGCGGCGGCACCUGCCGGCCGAGCAAUGCCCAGUGAGUAUAACUGUGUGAAACUGAGAAGCGAUCGCUCAAGACCCUCUCUGCAAUGGUACACCCGAGCUCAAAACAAGAUGAGAAGACCCAACUUGUUGAUAAAAGACAUCCUAAAGUGUACAUUGCUUGUGUUUGGAGUGUGGAUCCUUUAUAUUCUCAAGUUAAAUUAUACUACUGAAGAAUGUGACAUGAAAAAAAUGCAUUAUGUGGACCCGGACCGUGUAAAGAGAGCUCAGAAAUACGCUCAGCAAGUCUUGCAAAAGGAGUGCCGGCCCAAGUUUGCGAAGAAGUCGAUGGCGCGGUUGUUUGAACACAGGUACAGCCCGGACUUGCCACCUUUCGUGAAGGAGGCCCCCAAAGUGAAUGAAGCCGAGUACAAGUACAAUCCUCCUUUCGGAUUCCGGCAGUUCUCCAGUCAAGUCCAGACCCUCUUGGAAAUACUGCCUGAGCAUGACCUGCCUGAACACUUGAGAGCCAAGAGCUGUAGGCGUUGUGUGGUUAUUGGAAGUGGCGGAAUACUCCACGGACUAGUGCUGGGCCAUGCCCUGAACCAGUUCGAUGUUGUGAUAAGGUUAAACAGUGCACCAGUUGAGGGAUAUUCCGAGCAUGUUGGUAAUAAAACUACUAUCAGGAUGACUUAUCCAGAGGGCGCGCCACUGUCUGACGUUGAAUAUUAUUCCAAUGACUUGUUUGUUGCUGUUUUAUUUAAGAGUGUUGACUUCAACUGGCUUCAAGCAAUGGUAAAAAAUGAAACCCUGCCAUUUUGGGUGCGGCUCUUCUUUUGGAAGCAGGUGGCGGAAAAAAUCCCACUACAGCCCAAACACUUCAGGAUUUUGAAUCCAGUUAUUAUCAAAGAGACCGCCUUUGACAUCCUUCAAUACUCGGAGCCCCAGUCAAGGUUCUGGGGCCGAGAUAAGGCUUGAACUCAUGACCCUGAGAUGGAGACCUGAGCUGAGAUCAAGAGUUGGAUGCUAAACCACCUGAACUACCCAGGCACCACAUUCUUAAACUUUUAAGCAAAAUCUCCAUAUAUAAAGGAAAGCCAGGAAUUUAGAAAUGGGGGUGGGGUGCUGCUCACACUGGGGGCGUGAGAUACUGCCUAGCAGGUACCUGGGGCUGGUCAGGGUCACAGUUUACAAACAUUGAGUUAGACUCUUAGAUAUGGUCAACCGGUAACCAGUAGGCAGACUAGCAGGUUCGUCCGUUUGCCCAAUGAGUCAAAUUCUUUUUUUAAGAUUUUAUUUAUUUAUUUGAGAGAGAGAGGGCAUGAACAGAGAAGAGGGACAGAGGGAGAAGGAGAUGCAGGCUCCCCGCUGAGCAGGGAGCCCAGUGCAGGAAUGGGUCCCAGGACCCUGAGAUCAUGACCUUAGCCGAAGGCAGAUGCUUAACCAUCUGAGCCACCCAGGCGCCCUGUAGGUAGCUUUUUAUUUAAAAAGUAACCUUUAAAAAAUUAGCAGAUUUAAUUACAUAAAAUAUGAAGUUACUGAACAGCAAAAGAUAGCAGAAACAAAGUUAGAAUACAAAAUAAGCGGGGGAAAUUUUAUCAUAUAUAUAAUAGCAAAUACUCCCAAAGUAUAAGGAGAUCUUAUUAAAUCAAAAAGAAAAGAUGGGCCAAUAAAAAAAAAUGGGAAAAAAGAUAUGAACAGGCAUUUCACAAAAGAAGAAAUUAAUACAGCCAAGGAAUACAUGAUAAAAUGUUCAACUUCACCAAUAAUCAAAAGUAAAUUAGAGCCACAAUGACAUUUUUUCCUGUUUCCUUAGCAAAGAUUUAAAGGCUCAAUAAUGUCCUUGCCUGGCAGGAGUACAGGUAGAAUUAUAAGUUGGAGGGUAGUUUGGCCGUAUAUAUCGGCUUUAAAUGUGAAUGUGAAGAGUCUUGACCCAGCAAUUUUACUCUAAAAAUUUUAUCAUAAGAAAAUUAGAGGGGCACCUGGCUGGCUCAGGUGGUGGAGCGUGUGACUCCUGACCUUGGGAUUGUGAGUUUGAGCCCCACAUUGGGUGUAGAGAUUAGUUAAAAGUAAAAUCUUUAAAGAAGAGGGAGAGAGAAAAGAGAAAUCUGCAAAGGUGGCUAUUCUGGGAUGUUUACCAUAAUGUUAAUAACAAAGGACUUAAAAACGGCCUAAACGUUUCUCAUUAGGGGAUGAUUUAAACAUAUUACAUUUAGCUGAUGCAGUAUUGUGUGACUGUUAAAGGAUGAAGGAAAACAAAUGGAUGUGAACACACCUCCUCCAUAAUGUGAUAAACAAGAAAAUCAAGUUACCGAGCAUGUAUACCAUUCCGUUUUUAUUUAAAAGUAAAAAUGUGUGUCUAGAGAUGCCUAGGGCAAAGCUUGGAAAUAAACAGUAAGCUGGGAUUUUGUUGUCAGGAAGGCCUGGUGACCCGUCCUUCUAGCGGAGAGGUAAGUCUGGUAGAUGAGGAGGUGUCAUCUUAGGGGAUGUGCUCUGGAGAUAGCAUGCUCUGAGCAGUUUUUCAUGGCUGCUGAGUUUCUCUCCAUACAUUGCCCCUGUGCACGGCCGAUUUCACGUACUCCUUCUGUAAACACUGACUGAGUCUUCCCGAUAUGCUAGGUACGGGGCUGGCUGCAGGUAAGGCGGGACACUGCCUUUGGGUCCUGUGGCUGAACAGGAAGAAAUCUUUCUUUGGGUUAAUUUCUCUCGUCUUCGGUGACUGUUGAGUUUCUUUUUCCCGAGUGACAAGUGACGCAGAUGCCCCACAUCAAGGAGCAUGGGUGGCUUUGAACAAAUGAGUUCUGUAGAGGUUCCUUAAUCCACUUGAACUGUCAACUCCGAAAGGUUCACCGUUGUUCGCGUUGACAGACGAGGAGAGUUGUUUCUGGAAGCCACAGACUCAAGUGAACAAAAACGUGCCCACCAUCGGUGUCAUUGCUGUGGUCUUA